UACGGAGGAUCCGAGCGUUAUCCGGAUUUAUUGGGUUUAAAGGGAGCGUAGGUGGAUUGUUAAGUCAGUUGUGAAAGUCUGCGGCUCAACCGUAAGAUUGCAGUUGAAACUGGCAGUCUUGAGUACAGUAGAGGUGGGCGGAAUUCGUGGUGUAGCGGUGAAAUGCUUAGAUAUCACGAAGAACUCCGAUUGCGAAGGCAGCUCACUGGACUGUUGACUGACACUGAGGCUCGAAAGUGUGGGUAUCAAACAGG
rnacentral:rRNA from 1 species